AGUGGUUAUAAUUAAUAUUGUCAACUGUGGUGCGGGAAUAACCAGUUUUCGCCGUAUGCCACGAACUGUAUAAUAAUGGCGUUAACCAUACAAUUAAAAUAAUACGCAUAUUUAUAAUUGUUUAAUCAUAACUAAUAAGUAAUCAGUACAUUUCCUUGUUAAUCUUAGACGACCAAAUACUGAGGUAAUUAUAAUAUUUAGACAUUUAGACGGGGCGCACAUCAAGACCAAAGUUGUACAGUUGCAGUGUGAAUAACUGCCAGAUUAUUGCAGUGCAUCCUUAAACUUAGUCGCAUAAUUUUGUAUAGGUUACCUAUAGGCACUACAUAUUCUGGUAACGGUAAAGUUUUGCAGCUGGUGCUGCAGUUUCCGAUCUAAUCAGAUCUUUCCAAGACCGAGGCACGGCUGUAGCUAAUUUGGU